GGUGGCUAUGUCCUUGCUCCCUAAACUGAUGAGGGAGCCACUUCAAUCAUCUACCUCACUUGCCCUGCCGGAAUGUGGGAAGGAACCAAUGCUGAUUCUUAAUGAAGCUGAUGGAGUGGUCACCGGGCAAGUCAUAGCAGAAGACGUGGUUCUGUGCGAGAUAUGUAGCUACUUUCAGGGGUUAUGUGUUCUCUUUGCUGCCUGCUAUGCCUUCAAUACACAUUACAAUAAAAAACAUCGAAACACCCUGUGCUUCACUGAAAGAGUGUUAAUUGGGAUGGUUGGA